rnacentral:rRNA from 1 species
UACAGAGGUCCCGAGCGUUGUUCGGAUUCACUGGGCGUAAAGGGUGCGUAGGUGGCUUGAAAAGUUUGAUGUGAAAGCUCAGGGCUUAACCCUGAAAUGGCAUUGAAUACUGUCGAGCUGGAGGUUUGGAGGGGGGACUGGAAUUCUUGGUGUAGCAGUGAAAUGCGUAGAUAUCAAGAGGAACACCAGUGGCGAAGGCGGGUUGCUGGGCCGACACUGACGCUGAGGCGCGAAAGCCAGGGGAGCGAACGGG